rnacentral:rRNA from 1 species
AGGGAAUAUUGGACAAUGGGCGAAAGCCUGAUCCAGCAAUGCCGCGUGAGUGAUGAAGGCCUUAGGGUUGUAAAGCUCUUUUACCCGGGAUGAUAAUGACAGUACCGGGAGAAUAAGCUCCGGCUAACUCCGUGCCAGCAGCCGCGGUAAUACGGAGGGAGCUAGCGUUGUUCGGAAUUACUGGGCGUAAAGCGCACGUAGGCGGCUAUUCAAGUCAGAGGUGAAAGCCCGGGGCUCAACCCCGGAACUGCCUUUGAAACUAGAUAGCUUGAAUCCAGGAGAGGUGAGUGGAAUUCCGAGUGUAGAGGUGAAAUUCGUAGAUAUUCGGAAGAACACCAGUGGCGAAGGCGGCUCACUGGACUGGUAUUGACGCUGAGGUGCGAAAGCGUGGGGAGCAAACA